rnacentral:rRNA from 1 species
GGCCCAAACUCCUACGGGAGGCAGCAGUAGGGAAUCUUGCACAAUGGAGGAAACUCUGAUGCAGCGAUGCCGCGUGAGUGAAGAAGGCCCUUGGGUUGUAAAGCUCUUUCGUCGGGGAAGAAAAUGACUGUACCCGAAUAAGAAGGUCCGGCUAACUUCGUGCCAGCAGCCGCGGUAAUACGAAGGGACCUAGCGUAGUUCGGAAUUACUGGGCUUAAAGAGUUCGUAGGUGGUUAAAAAAGUUGGUGGUGAAAGCCCAGAGCUUAACUCUGGAAUUGCCAUCAAAACUUUUUAGCUAGAGUUUGAUAGAGGAAAGCAGAAUUUCUAGUGUAGAGGUGAAAUUCGUAGAUAUUAGAAAGAAUACCGAUUGCGAAGGCAGCUUUCUGGAUCAUUACUGACACUGAGGAACGAAAGCAUGGGUAGCGAAGAGGAUUAGAUACCCUCGUAGUCCAUGCCGUAAACGAUGUGUGUUAGAUGUUGGAAAUUUAUUUUCAGUAUCACAGCGAAAGCAAUAAACACACCGCCUGGGGAGUACGACCGCAAGGUUAAAACUCAAAUGAAUUGACGGGGACCCGCACAAGUAGUGGAGCAUGUGGUUUAAUUCGAAGAUACGCGCAGAACCUUACCAACACUUGACAUGUUCGUCGCGACUCUAAGAGAUUAGAGUUUUCGGUUCGGCCGGACGAAACACAGGUGCUGCAUGGCUGUCGUCAGCUCGUGUCGUGAGAUGUUGGGUUAAGUCCCGCAACGAGCGCAACCCUUACUUUUAGUUGCCAUCAUUUAGUUGGGCACUCUGAAAGAACUGCCAGUGAUAAGCUGGAGGAAGGUGGGGAUGACGUCAAGUCCUCAUGGCCCUUACGUGUUGGGCUACACACGUGCUACAAUGGCAUUUACAAUAGGAGGCAAGAUGGCGACAUCAAGCAGAUCCUAAAAAA